GCCAGCAGCCAUACCACCCUGCAACUCACAACUGGCAGCCCACUGAAACUAAGCAGGUGUGAGCCUGGUCAGUACCUGGAUGGGAGACCUCCUGGGAAAAACUAAAGUUGCUGCUGGAA
ensembl:rRNA 5S_rRNA 5S ribosomal RNA